rnacentral:misc_RNA from 1 species
GAAUUGCGAUACAUGGUGUGAAUUGCAGACUUAGUGAAUCAUCGAGUUUUUGAACGCACAUUGCGCCCUAUGGUAUUCCGUAGGGCACGCCUGUUCGAGCGUCGUCAGGAUCUUCGGGUUUUACCCGGUUGUGGGGGAUGUCCGUAAGGACACCUCUUAAAUUAUUCGGCACCCCUGGCUUUUGCUCCCUGACGUGGCAUUGUUUUCGUCUUGGACAACUUGUCUGGCGCCGCCAAAUCUUUGAAUUUCGACCUCGGAUCAGGCGGGGAUACCCGCUGAACUUAA